rnacentral:rRNA from 1 species
UACAGAGGGUGCGAGCGUUAAUCGGAUUUACUGGGCGUAAAGCGUGUGUAGGUGGCUGCGUAAGUCGGUUGUGAAAUCCCUGGGCUCAACCCGGGAAUGGCAGCCGAUACUGCGGAGCUAGAGUUCGGUAGAGGACGGCAGAAUUCCCGGUGUAGCGGUGAAAUGCGUAGAGAUCGGGAGGAAUACCGAUGGCGAAGGCAACCGUCUGGGCCUGAACUGACACUGAGACACGAAAGCGUGGGGAGCAAACAGG